CCUAUCGCCCAUGGUUAAGAAGUGCGAAUUCAGUACACUUUGUGAGACGAAAAAGGGAAGAAAAAAUGCCCCAAGAGGCUGCUGGGUGCACCUGAUAAGCCACCAAUCACCCCUUUAAAAGGUGGACAAAUCUUACCAAUCACUUAUGGUAUCCCACACGCCUCGUGUGUGGUACGCGUUACCUCUGAAAAGUGAUUCAAACCACACAUCGUACUGUGCAAUACGCGACCCUUUCAAUGUCUGUUCCCACUCAAUGAUGACAUCUCCCAUCACUCAAGGAAGAAAUCUCAUAACGGCUAACAUCAGGGGUACCCUUGUGUCUUAUCAUGAACGGGGAAUGAAAAGGAGGUCCUCAGCCCUGGUGACGGAGGCUGCUGCGGCUACAGGACUACCUGUGUCUGUAGUUAAGGUAUGAAAUGGAGGGAAGGGGCGAGAGGGAG
ensembl:lncRNA